ACUAGCAAGUAGGCGCAAUUUUUCAGAUGUUGCCCUACCGUAGUUACACAGUAUUGUUGAAACGCACAUCCAUGGGCUACUUGCUAUUGGCCUCACUGCUAUUAGCUUUACGACUGACAUUUGGACCAGCAAUGUCAGCCCCAUGAGCAGGGUCCGAAAUGAACACCCGCCAAGCGCCAAAUGCGGGUAGAUUUUCCAUUUGGCGAGAAUCUCAGAAGGCUAUCCGCCACACUGGCGGGUAAAUGUUUGUACCAAAAUAGUCAUGUAAUAAGAUAUCUGGCAUGAUUGCUCGGAGGAAAUUACUUAUGUUUGCCAGCUUACCACAGACCAUCUCUAGUGCUCCUAGUUUCACGGCACUGUUUACCGUACGGGACAUCGGCUUCUCGACAUCGUUCACUUGCCACGGGUCUGCUGCUAGCUACCGUUCAUUAAAUAGCUGUUAUGUGGCGACAUUUACUUGGAGUAAGCCAACCUUUGAAACGAAAACCCACCGAUGAAAAGGAGGACGAAUCGCAUAAAGAAAGUUUUAUGAGAAAUGGAGGUUUGGAGAUAAAGGAGUUUCAAGAGGCUGGCUACAGUAUGAUGCGGAGGCUGUGGUGAUGAGUUGUUCUGUGUGUCGCUAGUAUGCUAAAGAUAAAAGCAGAAACGACUAAUUUGUCAUCAGAAAUAAAAUUAUGAAGCUGGAGAACAUUUGUGACCAUGCACACAGCAAGUGUCACAUUGCCUGCGUGUCUAUGUCCCGGCCUCAAUCGCAGCCUCUCCUCUUGACACCCUCUGUGAUGGCGCUAAUGGCAAUGUCAGAGCAGACCAGCACGAAGAUGAAGAUACUGUUUAGGACUGUACAUGCCAUUGGCAAGAAGGCGAGACCACUUUCUGACUUCGAGUGGAUGUGUGAGUAAGUGAACAUGUUGUUACUCUUGUAGCUUGACUAGUACUUUUUGUAGCGAGUUUAAGUCUAUUUAGCAGACGUGGUCCAGUAUUGUAGGUAAUUUCUCACCCGUUGAUUUGGUUCACCUCAACAUAGUGUAUAAAUACCAUAAAAUUAUAGGCCUACUGAUGCUGACAUGGAUCUCCAUGCUUUCCUAUGACAUUCUAUUUUGUUUGUCUCCAGAGACUGUUUACAUUUUAAAGCAUUGUGGCACAAUUGACUUUACUAGCCUUAUCGUGUUGAUUCUUAAGUAAACAAAGGGUAGAAGGCUAAUUUAGCACAAUCAACUGCCAGCUAUAUUGGAUAACAUGAUUGUAUAUUUAAUUAUUAUUGAAUUAAUUUGAUGUUUAAUUUUUUCAGUUUGGAUGAGAGAAAAAAAGGAAUCACUGUGGGCUCAACAUAUAGAAAUGAGAAGCAGGCCAAAGAGUUUACACCUGUUGUGUGCACUGGACCACUUCCUGCGAGGUUACCAGGGGCUUGUCCAGCACCUGGAACAGAGGUGUCCAGCAGGCCAAGGCCAGGAAAUACUACAGUACUGCGAGGGAGGCUGUUGUUAUCCGCUUCUGUGGCUUCUUGCAUGACACUCUAACACACCUGAGCAACCUGUCUGCCUGUCUGCAGAGGUCCACCAUAGCAGAAGCCCACAGCUCCUUGUGCUCAACACAGGCAGUACUUAAGAAGUACAAAACCAGAUUUUGGUGACACUGAACUGGAAACCCUGGUGGACCACUUCAAGCCUGUCCUGGAGACCUCUGGCAUCCAUGUUGAAAGGAUCCCUGACCAGUGGACUGUCCUGAAGGUGCUGAUGUACCAAGAGUCCAGGUCUGCAGAAGAUGUCCUGGUUCCGUGUCAACAGGAGCCAUCAGCAUUCCUGUCCUGAUUUUCUGGCAUUGGUUGACCUGGUCCUGUCCUUCCCUGCCUCCACAGCUGAAUGUGAAAGAGGUUUUAAUAACAUUGAAACAGGUGAAAACCGAUUGGCAGUCCAACCUAAAGUCUGACUCACUGUCAGAUCUCCUUAUGGUCCAGCUGUCCUCUCCAGAGAUCAGGGAGUAUGAUCCGUUAAAAGUUGUGAUGCUGUGACACCAGGACUUUGUCAGGAGCAGGAGGGCAGACUUCAUGGACCAUGCACGGUAGAGGGUGAGGAGUCUGAGGUUUAAGUUGAUUAAAAUGAUUAAGUAUCUGCUAGGUUUACAAAACCUUCAAAUUUAGUUUUAUGUUUGAUCCUUAAGUACAUUUAAUAGCAAAUACUUCAGUAGAAUUUUGAGUUCAAAACUUCUUCAGUUGUAUUCAGGCUGGGAAAUUAAAUCUAGCCACAGCCAAAAUUAACCAGCAUCUGAUAAGCCUCUUUUUUACCUGUAUUUAAUCAGGGUAUUUCUACUCAAAGUAAAGGAUUUGUAGACCUGCUUCCCCUGUUUCCCCUUUGUAUCAGGAGAGCACCAGUUCACUGUAUCAGGAGAGCACCAGUUCACUGCACUUCUCAUAAUUGUAUUUUACCAUUGCUGUUGCCCUGUUUACACAUCUAUGUACUCUUAUUCAUUGUAUCUGAUAUGUUUUGUUUAUUUCAUUGUGUGCCCAAUGUUUAGCGUUUUUGCACUCUGUACAGCACUUUUGGUCAACUACAGUUGUUUUUAAAUGUGCUCUACAAAUAAACUUGAUUUGAUUAACCGUUGAUCAAUAUA